ensembl:lncRNA
GCGGCAGGGUAGCCUAGUGGUUAGAGUGUAGGGGCGGCAGGGUAGCCUAGUGGUUAGAGUGGAGGGGUGGCAGGGUAGCCUAGUGGUUAGAGUGUAGGGGCGGCAGGUAGCCUAGUGGUUAGAGUGUAGGGGCGGCAGGUAGUCUAGUGGUUAGAGUUUGGAGGCGGCAGGUAGCCCAGUGGUUAGAGUGUAGGGGCGGCAGGGUAGCCUAGUGGUUAGAGUGUAGGGGCAGCAGGUAGCCUAGUGGUUAGAGUGUAGAGGAGGCAGGGUAGCCUAGUGGUUAGAGUGUAGGGGCGGCAGGUAGCCUAGUGGUUAGAGUGUAGGGGCGGCAGGGUAGCCUAGUGGUUAGAGUGUAGGGGCGGCAGGUAGCCUAGUGGUUAGAGUGUAGGGGCGGCAGGGUAGCCUAGUGGUUAGAGUGGAGGGGUGGCAGGGUAGCCUAGUGGUUAGAGUGUAGGGGCGGCAGGUAGCCUAGUGGUUAGAGUGUAGGGGCGGCAGGGUAGCCUAGUGGUUAGAGUGGAGGGGCGGCAGGUAGCCUAGUGGUUAGAGUGUAGGGGCGGCAGGGUAGCCUAGUGGUUAGAGUGUAGGGGCGGCAGGGUAGCCUAGUGGUUAGAGUGUAGAGGGGGCAGGGUAGCCUAGUGGUUAG